UUUUAUUCCAUACCACCCUGAACGCGCCCGAUCUCGUCUGAUCUCGGAAGCUAAGCAGGGUCGGGCCUGGUUAGUACUUGGAUGGGAGGUCUUCUGUUUCUUCACAACUAUCAUAAACUUAAGUGAAACAAAGG
rnacentral:rRNA from 1 species